rnacentral:lncRNA from 1 species
AGGCAGGCUGUAUUUGACCCGAGGGUACCAUUUCUGAUGCUGGAGUUCUUUUGAAGAAACUAAGAGCUGUGGCAGAAUAAGCUAGUAGAUGAGGAUAGGGUGAAUAAAGCACAAGUACCAACUGGUUUUACUGAGGCUGAAUUGGGGAAGAGGAUCCAGGAUCCUGAGAUGAAGUCUGGAGAAGGGAGACGCUCUUAGAUGAGCAGUCAUUGUAUCUCUGAGCUUUUGAUUUUCGUGUUUGCUCCUUCUACCUGGAGUCUCUGGGAGGCAAGGAAGGAUGAAGAUCUAAAGAAAGAAAAGGAUCAGCAGUCUUGGUUCCAUUUGACCCUGAAGGCAGAGAUCCAGGAGACUGAUGUGCUUGUGUUCAAAGGAUUCAUGUUUGCCUAUUUAAGGUCCCUACGGGAGUAUCAUUGCCACAGGAAUGGGUGCCACAUUUUAUGAAGCUAGAGACCACACUGCAAAGAAAAUGCCCGAAAGCAGUCAUUUCUCCGGCCUGGAAUUAAAAGUGACCCCCUUUCAUAUUUCCUUGGGCUCUGCAGGCCGAAGUGGAGACCCUAUUUGCCAAGUCUCAGCCACAGUUAAUUUACUUUCGUUUUAUUUUUCCUUACUCCUGAAUUGAAUUAUCACCUUCCUGAAGAGCCGUGUGUGUAAUGGAAAAGCUGACACCAGCCAAAGUGGAGUAUUGCAGCCCAAAUGAGGCUCCUAUUAUUGCCCUGUUACGGGAGGAACGGGCUUCUGUUUGCCCUUCAUUCAUCACCUGCUGACUGUGAAACCAAGUCGAGCUGCUUUGUUUUAAUGGCAGUUGUUCUGCCCUGACCUAUGCUGCUCGCCCACCCUGCUCCAGGAGCAAACAGAUGAGUUCCAUUUGGAGCUGAACUUACUGUGCAUGAAAAUCACGAGGGCAACGAGAUUUUUUCUUCGCCUUCAUGCAACGGGGAGCAUUAAGCACUGCAUUCUGUCCCUUGAAGUCCAGAACAGGACACCUGGCUAACGGGCACCCUAUGAGACCAUCUUAUCACACUUUUCAGACCGAAGGACCUCAGCUUUGUGCUGUCCCUCCUGCUAAGGCCUUUAAAGAUCCCUCCUAAGGUUUCCAUACGCAAGUGUGUUAAAAAUAUAUCCGAGGAAAUGAUUUUCAUAGUGGAUGUUUCCUGGCUUGUGUCACACACUAUAUAUACUUCCAAUUAGGACUAUUUAUUCCUCCCUCCACCAUGCCCCGAAGCAAGGUCCAUUUGUGAAAUCUAAUUAAACCUGCUUAUUUCCUUGGAAUGAAGGACAUUUUUAGAUCUUUCACUAGGCACGCUCCUCCUGUCUGGAAGAAUUUUGUUUGUUGGUGCGUUUUAGUCUUUCUGGGGGAGGAGGGAUAGUUUUUGUUAGUUUUUCUGAGAACCCAAAAUGAUUGGAGACCUUUUAUUUACUUAUUUUUUAAACACCAGUUUCCACAGGACACUGUGAAGGAGCCAGUGCAGACUCCCUUUAGUGAAGCUCUUUCCUUGGGUUCUAAAAGCUCCUUUGUUCUCAAUUCCCAUUACUUUUCUCUCUGACUGUGGAUGGUCUCCCCUCUCCCCACAGAGCUGAGAGUUCAUGGCUGUUUCUAAUCCAUAAUUAGCUGAAAUAGAAAAAUACUCUCCUUGAGGUAAUAAUUCUCCUGCAUUUGCCGCUCUUCGCCCAUCACAAUGCAAAACAGAACAUUCUCAGACCAUGUAUGAUCACUGACAUUGCCACAGGCACCAAAAAAUUUAUUUUUUUAAGCAGCUUUGCUAAGAUGGGGCUGUCCUUGGCCUCAUAUCUGUGGUGAAUCUAAAGGAGUCAGUGAAAGCAGAAAGGAGGCAAAUAAAAUGCAGAUUGACUCUGGGAAACAUCCAUUUCAUUGGCUCUGCUUACUGGAGAAGUGGCCCAUGGAAGAUUAUGUCACCUUUUGCACCAAGUUAACGCGGCUGUUUGUCAAGUGAGACGAGAAUUCUUUGUAUUUGUAUUCUUACCUAGCUCACAUUUUUAACGAUGUCUCUUCUCCAUUUCUCAUCCAGACAUUUUUCCCUAUCUGCUUUCAAUGCUAAUGUGUCCCUGUCCUGUUUUUCAAAUUAAAUACCACACUUAAAAUAUUAAUACCCCUUGCUCUUUGAUUCUUUGUUUAUUCAUCUUAUGCAAAACACAACAGUGAGCUUCCAUCUGUAUUAAAUGCUACUGUAUGGGCCAAUUCAAUGACUUAUUAAUGACUGUUCCAUGAUAUGGAGGGCUAGGCUUUAUAUAAUCAUGCAAUUCUUAUUCAGAAAUGCUCC